CCUACGGGAGGCUGCAGUGAGGAAUAUUGGUCAAUGGGCGCGAGCCUGAACCAGCCAAGUAGCGUGAAGGAUGACUGCCCUACGGGUUGUAAACUUCUUUUAUAAAGGAAUAAAGUGAGGCACGUGUGCCUUUUUGUAUGUACUUUAUGAAUAAGGAUCGGCUAACUCCGUGCCAGCAGCCGCGGUAAUACGGAGGAUCCGAGCGUUAUCCGGAUUUAUUGGGUUUAAAGGGAGCGUAGAUGGGUUGUUAAGUCAGUUGUGAAAGUUUGCGGCUCAACCGUAAAAUUGCAAUUGAUACUGGCAGCCUUGAGUACAGUUGAGGUAGGCGGAAUGCGUGGUGUAGCGGUGAAAUGCUUAGAGAUCACGAAGAACUCCGAUUGCGAAGGCAGCCUACUAAGCUGCCACUGACAUUGAGGCACGAAAGUGUGGGUAGCAAACAGGAUUAGAUACCCGAGUAGUC
rnacentral:rRNA from 1 species